CCUAUCUCAACAGCUCCCUAAGAGAAUUACAGUUGGCCUUCCUUAUCUGGGGGUUCUGCAUAUGCAGAUUUAAGCAACAACAGAUCAAAAAUGCUCGAAAAUAAAUUUUAAAAAACCAAUACAAUAAAAAUACAAAUGGAAAAUAGAGUAUAACAAGUAUUUACAGAGCACUUACAUUGUAUGAGGUAUUGUGAGUAAACUAGAGAUGAUUUAAAGCACAUGGGAGGAUGUACAUAGAUUAUUUGCAAAUACUUGCCAUUUUUAUAUCAAGGACUUGAGCAUCCAUGGAUUUUUGGUAACCACAAGGGUUCUGGAACCAAUCUCCCAUAAAUACUAAGGGACAACUCUACCCAUAAAAAAUAAAUACAAGAGAUACAUAAAACUGAAAGAAACUCUUCUAUCUUAAAUAUUCCAUGUUAAAAAUGAACAGAGCUCCUCCUUUACUCUUCAAAACCAACAGGUCCGUUUUUUUAAAAAAGGACAGUGACAUAAAAUUAUUCAGUAAGAACCCAGCAAUAUCAUAUAAGUGACAGCUAGUAAUUUUAGUUGUAAGUUUAAUGACAGUAUCUGAUUUGCUCUCCUAAGCAGCAAGCAGAGAGACCCUAAAAUACAAAUGAAUAUGCUCACAGAUACAAGCAGACCGAUACUUCAGAAUCACCCCCCAUUCCUAUAUUCUACAUAAAUGGAUUUCAAUUAGUCAGAUGAAUGUGAAAGACAGUGCAUUUCUUAACUCUUAGAAGUAAAACUGUUUGUGAAAUCUAAAUUAAAACAAUGAAAUCAUAAAGAUGAAGACUUGCUAGUGAUUGCUAAUGUCCAGGUAAUAAAACCUGACUUAAAACACUGUAUUUUGAAAAACAAGUCAAAAAUAGAAACUCCUUAAUGACAAUGUAGUAAGGCUCCACCUUAAGUACUUGCAGAUAAUUCAUCUGUCUAGAUAUGCAUGACUUCAACCUCCUCUACUGCCUCACAGUGAACAUUUUAGACAAUGCCUUACACAGUGAAAUUCCAUUCAGAUCAAAACUCAGAAAGUGUUACAUUAACAAAAUCCAGUAAAAUCUGAUAAAAUAGUAUAAAUCAUUUCAAAACACCUUGGUAAAUAGAUCUGUAUUUACAGAACCUCCUUGAAUAUAUAAUAGGUAAUGAUGCAAUGAAGACAUUUUUAUAAUAUUUAUUAAGAUAACAAAUUUAUAAAUUGAAAGACUCAGAGGCACAUAGUUUAAAAGGCCAAUACCAUGGGAAUAAUGAAGUCAACACAGAAAAGUAAG
rnacentral:lncRNA from 10 species